GUACACGCUGUGACUAGCAUAUCAAUAAGCGGAGGAAAAGAAACUAACAAGGAUUCCCCUAGUAACGGCGUGUGAAGCGGGAAGAGCUCAAAUUUGAAAUCUUAAAGGGUUUCCCUUUACGAAUUGUAGUUUAAAGAAGUGUUUUCUGUUGAGGUUUUGGUAAAAGUUCUUUGGAAUAGGACAUCAUAGAGGGUGAGAAUCCCGUAUUUGACCUUUACUUUCAACUUUGUGAUACACUUUCAAAGAGUCGGAUUGUUUGGGAAUGCAGUCCAAAAUGGGUGGUAAAUUUCAUCUAAAGCUAAAUAUUGGCGAGAGACCGAUAGCGAACAAGUACCGUGAGGGAAAGAUGAAAAGAACUUUGAAAAGAGAGUUAAACAGUACGUGAAAUUGUCAAAAGGGAAGCGUUUGACACCAGUGUUGUUUUUCUGAAAAUCAAUUAAAGAACUGUUUAUGCUAAGCUGUUUAGACUUUAUCAGCUAACUGUUUAGUUUUGAGCUUUUCUUUAAUGCACUUUUCAGUUAACAAGUCAACAUCAAUUUCUUUCGCUGUAAAAAAGCUUGAGGAAGGUGGCUUGAGAUUCGUCUUAAGUGUUUAUAGCCUCUUGCCUAUGCAGUCGGAGAGAUUGAGGUCUGCAGCGUAGAUCCUUCGGGGCUAAAUGCAUUUGUGCUAAGUUAUAGCAUUUUAUAGACAACUUGUUGACUAUGAUUUGUCUUGUAGCUUACUCGCUUAUGUUAUUUUACCUACGCUUAGGAUGUUGAAGAUGUAGCACAUCAU
rnacentral:rRNA from 1 species